rnacentral:rRNA from 1 species
AGAGUUUGAUCCUGGCUCAGAAUGAACGUUGGCGGCGUGGAUUAGGCAUGCAAGUCGAACGGACCUGGUUUUCGGAUCAGGUCAGUGGCGUAAGGGUGAGUAAGGCGACGGCAACCAACCCCAUGGUUGGGCAUAACCGCGGGAAGCUGCGGAUAAUACCCAGCGAUGUUCGUGCCGGGCAUCCGGCGUGAACCAAAGUUUCGGCGCCGUGGGACGGGCCGUCGUGGUAUUAGGUAGUUGGCGGGGUAAUGGCCCACCAAGCCUUUGAUGCCUACCGGGCGUGCGAGCGUGGCCCGGCACACUGGGACUGAGACACUGCCCAGACUCCUACGGGAGGCUGCAGUCGAGAAUCUUCGGCAAUGGGCGCAAGCCUGACCGAGCGACGCCGCGUGGAGGAUGAAGGCCUUCGGGUUGUAAACUCCUGUCGAGGGGGAGGAAGGCGCAAGCUUGACCUAUCCCUGGAGGAAGCACGGGCUAAGUUCGUGCCAGCAGCCGCGGUAAGACGAACCGUGCGAACGUUAUUCGGAAUCACUGGGCUUAAAGCGCGUGUAGGCGGAUGGGGACGUCGGUUGUUGAAAGCCCCCGGCUCAACCGGGGAACUGGCGCCGAAACGCCCUGUCUUGAGGAGCGUAGGGGGACCUGGAACUUCCGGUGGAGCGGUGAAAUGCGUUGAGAUCGGAGGGAACGCCCGUGGCGAAGGCGAGGUCCUGGACGUUAUCUGACGCUGAGACGCGAAAGCUAGGGGAGCGAACGGGAUUAGAUACCCCGGUAGUCCUAGCUGUAAACGAUGGGCACUGGGUAGGGGGCUCGCCGAUGGGCUCUCUGC